AGAACGAACGCUGGCGGCAUGCCUAAUACAUGCAAGUCGAACGAACACUUCGGUGUUAGUGGCGCACGGGUGCGUAACGCGUGGGAAUCUGCCCUUGGGUUCGGAAUAACAGUUGGAAACGACUGCUAAUACCGGAUGAUGACGAAAG
rnacentral:rRNA from 1 species